rnacentral:piRNA from 1 species
CAUGGGCAAAACACUUGAAUGGAAAC